rnacentral:lncRNA from 1 species
GGGGAUUUUGAUUCUAGGUAGACUCUUCCUAGACUCGUACUCUGAAUUUAUCUCAGUGUCUCUUUUCACUUUCAUGGCUCUUUCAAAAUGAUGAAAAAGCGGUUGAUAUCUAAAUCUGACUUGAGAUGAUUCUUGAGGUCAUUGUUCAAACUUUCACUCAGUUGUGUGCUUCGCAUUCCCAAAGUGAAAGCAUCUCUCAUAAAACAUUCUGCCCACUUCUCCUUUACCUUAUAAAUACUAUCCAUCCAAGUUUGCUUUUUCACCUUGCUUCUCAUAACAUUAAAAGCAUCUUCAAAUGUUUCUCGGUCUUCGUAUUCAAACAUACAAGCACUGAAAUCUUUGAGAAGAGAUGAUUCAUUUUCCUCAUUAUCUCCCUCAUCCGCAUCGUCUUCGUUGUCUUCACUAUUCUCUUUGCUGGGUAGGUGCUUGAUAGCAUUUUGCAUAAUGUGCAAAGUGCACAGCCCAUGUAUUGAUUCUGAAAAAACAUGCCCAAUUGCCUUCCCCAUAGCACUAUCUUGGUCAGUAAAUAUGGUGCGUGGCUGCUUCUGGUUAUGUAUCGACAAGAAGGCAUGAAAUAGCCAUUUGAAAGAUUCGAAUGUCUCGUCAUAGAGAAGUGAAGCACCAAAUACUACUGUUUCUCUGAAUUGAUUGAAUCCAACAAACACACCAAAUGGCCUGUACUCUUUAUUUGUCCCAAAAGUAGUGUCAAAGGUCAUAACAUCACCAAAAUGAGCAUAAUCUAUGAUCAUUUUGGCAUCAGCCCAGAAUAUAUUUGUUAUUUGUUCCUCACUGUCCAACUGUACACAAAUUGAAAGGAAGGAUUCUCAAUGGCUUUGUCUUGAAAAUACUUCAACAUACGUCCAGCCUCACCAUACUUCAAUUCUCUUUGGCGCUUUGUUCGCAAGUGGUUCUUGUGAUCUACGCGUGUAUAAGUUAAACCAGCUGAACCACCAACACGUCGACUAGCAAAUUCAUGAGCAUUUUUUGGUGCAAUACCAGAGUCAUCAGCUAUUUCAAUUUCAAAAGCUUGCACUUUAGAGAUCCUUCUUUGUGAUGGCAACAAGUGGCAUGCUUCUGGCAGCUGAAGCAUGUGAUUAUGUUCAAGACAAAGAUCAUAUAUUUCAUAAUUUCCGACUUCACGGUCUAUUGUAAGAGACAUACGGACCUCACAAUCAGUUCUAAUUUCAGCUCGGCCUGUCUUAGUUAGGUUAUCUCUUUUAUCUGCAGACUUCUUCCCCUCUUUGAAACAUACAUAUCUGCAUGAAGUCACUACACCAUCAAAUUUACUCCGAGUUGUAAACCUCUUUCUAACACUGAAUCCCAUUCUUCCUCCAUAGUACCUCCAAAAGUCCCAUGCCUCAUCCAAAUUAUCGAAUUUCAUGCCAAGUUGAGGUUUCCAGCUAGGUGUGACAUUUGCCCUAUAAAAUAAACAAGUAAAGAUUAUUCUAACUAAUCCAUACAAAAGAAAGAGGAGAGGUGCAGAUUUGUUUCAUGAUAUACUUGCUACAUAGUGACACCAACAAGAACUGGUUUAACAUGUGCAACUCCUACUGAAAAGAUCCAUAAAAAGCAAAACUUACUUGUUUGGAUCUUGAUUCUCCAUUGAUCAGCCUCUAAAUUCUGACUUUGAUGUUGUAUUUGAUUAGGCCAGGUGCUUGUUGUCCUGAUACUCCAAAAGAGAAGAGGAAAAGAGCAUUUUGGAUGUGCUGAUGCUCCAAAAGAGAAGAGGAGAAAAGCAGUAUUGCUGUGCUGGGAGUGGCAGAUGCUCCAAAAGAGAAGAGGAAAAGAGAAAAAGUGAGGUGCAGUACAAACAGUGGAGGGGAAAGUGGAGAAGAAGUGGAGGGAAGCAACUCACGGGUGUGGUUUUGGCGCCAAGCUGGGUGACUUUUCCCUCCAAAAGAGAAGAAAGAGAAAGAGCAGGUCACGUGCAUGAGAAGGGAGAGGUGUUGUGUGUCCGUUUCCUGAAGGGAUGUCUAGCCCUGACUCCGCUCUGUAAUGUUAGAGGAUCCGGCUCCGUAAACACGUACGGUCAUUGCCAGGUGGAACCAUCGUAGGUGAAACCUGAUCUCAUUUCCACUCAAUUUUCAGAACAGAGAAUAAGCAGUCACCUGCUCUCAGCGUCUCAGAGCUUCUUAUCCGAGCACAGAGGUGUCUUCUAGAGGACAUGAAUUGAAAUGGUAAUCACAAAAGAGCAUGCGUUCAGAAACCAAAUAUAAAAGGUCAAACGAAAUACUCACACAGUACGAUUCAUGAUCAGCAGUAUCAAAAAGGGUUCAAGAAAGGAGCGUUUGCUUGAGACAGGGGCCCACUAGCUGGACACGAGAGCCCUACUGUUACUAGUAGAGAUAGAGAUUAAG